CUAAAAUUCGUAGCGGUUAUCGGUAAAAAUAAUCUAAACUAUCAACCGCGUUCUCUCGAGAUAUAGUUUUUCUCAAUCCAUUCAUAAAUCGCAAAAAGAAAAACCACUACUGACCUACCUUUUAAGUGAUCGCACUGUAAUAAUCCUGACCUUCACAUUUCCAAGAAUGUUUUCCAUUGUAAUUACGCCAUCUUUGUUUCUAUGAGGAUCCUUUAUUUACACAAGCAGAUGAUAAGAAUUCGUCACUUCCGGAGGCGGAACCUAAUAUAUUUCAGUCAUUGAUGUGCUAAACUUUCGCGCGUUUUUUCUUGUAAACAAUAACAAAUGAAAUGUAAUCGACAAGACAACUUCAAAUGUGAACCGAAAUUCAACAGAAUGACGUUUAACACGGAGUAUCAAUGAAAAAAUGUACGAUGGGAAAGAAAAUCACUCAAAUUAAUGUCCAGAAAUUGUCAUCAAUGAAUCAGUAACUGAAGAUUAAACAAAGGUGUGUUGAGAAAGUCCUCUAGAGCUGUAAAGAAACUGAGACGGUAUCCAUGCUGUUAUUAUCAAUCAUUAAGUUACUGCCUCCUAAGCAAUACCUUCAGUAUGUGGAAAGUGGAAUCUAGAUGACUGUGAUGUAUUCUGGUAGCUUGGUGAAUUAUUUGCAGAAUUCAUGAGUCUUAGCUUCCUGCAGCUUUGGCAUGGUCACCGACUGCGAUUUCUUGUGCAGAUCAUAGAUGGUCCUCCUCACCACACCUUUGUCGAAAUCAUCCACCUUCUGAGUCUUGGUGACAGUUUUCUGGACAUAAUCCUUGUGAAUUGACCUGACCACAUCCUGCACCGGAUCAUUUCCAUUGAUGUACCCUCUCAGGGUGGACUGUUUAAUGCCUGUAAUUUUAAUUGAGAAUGAUUUAUACAAAUUUUAACAAUUUUGUUUUAUCAAUGCAAUACAUGAAUUGUUAUUAUAUAUGUAAAUUAUGUUUUACAAAACAUCAAUAUUGAAGACUUUCAACAUAUAUUUCAUCAAUUUUUGUUUUUGCUGAAUUUUGAUGAUGGAACAUAAAAAUGUAAUAUCUUGUCUAGACUUAAGGCCAAAAAAAAUUACUAGUUGUGUUUUCUAUUACAUCUUUGAAGUUUUUAGUUGGUUUUAUUUUAGAAUGACUUUAUUGUUAAAAUUAUACCCCAUGUAAUUAAAAACUGAAAUCCUUCAAUUUCUUCUUUUGAAAGAAAUCAUUUGAAAGAAAUAGAAUACACAUGUAGAUGCUAGUAUACACAAUUGAUUUUAAGUGUGCUUAUGAAAUGUCCAAUUGUUUUUUUUUUCGAAUCAAAUUAAAAAUUGGUUAACUUUA